UACGGGGGGAGCAAGCGUUGUUCGGAUUUACUGGGCGUAAAGGGCGCGUAGGCGGCCACCGCAAGUCGACUGUGAAAUCUCCGGGCUUAACCCGGAAAGGUCAGCCGAUACUGCGGGGCUAGAGUGCAGAAGGGGCAACUGGAAUUCUCGGUGUAGCGGUGAAAUGCGUAGAUAUCAAGAGGAACACCUGAGGUGAAGACGGGUUGCUGGGCCGACACUGACGCUGAGUGCGCGAAAGCCAGGGGAGCAAACGGG
rnacentral:rRNA from 1 species